AACGAACGCUGGCGGCAGGCCUAAAACAUGCAAGUUGAACGCUGUAGCAAUACAGAGUAGCGCACGGGUGCGUAACACGUGGGAAUAUGCCUUUUGGUACGGAACAACGUUUGGAAACGAACGCUAAUACCGUAUGGUCCCUCCGGGGUAAAGAUUUAUCGCCAAAAGAGUAGCCCGCGCCUGAUUAGCUAGUUGGUGAGGUAAUGGCUCACCAAGGCGACGAUCAGUAGCUGGUCUGAGAGGACGAUCAGCCACACUGGGACUGAGACA
rnacentral:rRNA from 1 species